GAUGAACGCUAGCGGAGGCUUAACACAUGCAAGUCGAGGGGCAGCAUAGGGUAGCAAUACUCUGAUGGCGACCGGCAAACGGGUGAGUAACGCGUAUGCAACCUACCUGUACAGGGGGAUAACCCGGAGAAAUUCGGACUAAUAUCCCGUAAUAAUAUCCGGAGGCAUCUUUGGAUAUUUAAAGUUCCGACGGUACGGGAUGGGCAUGCGUAACAUUAGCUGGUUGGUAAGGUAACGGCUUACCAAGGCUAUGAUGUUUAGGGGUCCUGAGAGGGUGGUCCCCCACACUGGUACUGAGACACGGACCAGACUCCUACGGGAGGCAGCAGUGAGGAAUAUUGGUCAAUGGGCGCAAGCCUGAACCAGCCAUCCCGCGUGCAGGAAGACGGCCCUAUGGGUUGUAAACUGCUUUUCCAGGGAGAGAAACUUACGCACGUGUUGCGUGACUGACGGUACCCUGGGAAUAAGCAUCGGCUAACUCCGUG
rnacentral:rRNA from 1 species